ensembl:lncRNA
CCCAAGGACACAUCGACCAGCGAAGCCAAAGCUUCUGGCUGAGGAAUCAUGACCGUGGAGUCGCGACAACAAGUACAACAUGUGAAUGUAAGCUUCUAAAUUGGAGACACAAAGGAAGAAAAAAGACAGAGCACAUUCAGGACUGAAAGAGUAAUAUGUAGUAUUCUGUAGUAGUCUGCAGUAGUCCGUAGUAGUCUGCAGUAGUCUCUAGUAGUCUGUAGUAGUCUGCAGUAGUCAGUAGUAGUCUGCAGUAGUCUCUAGUAGUCUGUAGUAGUCUGCUGUAGUCUGUAGUAAUCUGCAGUAGUCCGUAGUAGUCUGCAGUAGUCUCUAGUAGUCUUUAGUAGUCUGCAGUAGUCUGAAGUACUCUGUAGUAGUCUGCAGUAGUCUGCAGUAGUCUGUAAUAGUCUAUAGUAGUUUCUAGUAGUCUGUAGUAGUUUGUAGUAUUCUGCAGUAGUCUCUACUA